rnacentral:rRNA from 1 species
GACGAACGCUGGCGGCGUGCUUAACACAUGCAAGUCGUACGGUAAGGCCCUUUCGGGGGUACACGAGUGGCGAACGGGUGAGUAACACGUGAGUAACCUGCCCACAACUUUGGGAUAACGCUAGGAAACUGGUGCUAAUACUGGAUAUGUGCUCCUGCUGCAUGGUGGGGGUUGGAAAGCUCCGGCGGUUGUGGAUGGACUCGCGGCCUAUCAGCUUGUUGGUGGGGUAGUGGCCUACCAAGGCGGCGACGGGUAGCCGGCCUGAGGGGGUGACCGGCCACAUUGGGACUGAGAUACGGCCCAGACUCCUACGGGAGGCAGCAGUGGGGAAUAUUGCACAAUGGGCGCAAGCCUGAUGCAGCAACGCCGCGUGCGGGAUGACGGCCUUCGGGUUGUAAACCGCUUUCAGCAGGGACGACGCUUUUUGUGACGGUACCUGCAGAAGAAGCACCGGCUAACUACGUG